UACGGAGGGUGCGAGCGUUGUCCGGAAUCACUGGGCGUAAAGGGCGCGUAGGCGGCCCCGCAAGCGUGUGGUGAAAGCCCGGGGCUCAACCCCGGGUCGGCCGUGCGGACUGCGGGGCUCGAGCACUGUAGGGGCGGGUGGAAUUCCGGGUGUAGCGGUGGAAUGCGUAGAGAUCCGGAAGAACACCGGUGGCGAAGGCGGCCCGCUGGGCAGGAAGACCCCUUACGGGGUCGGCUGACGCUGAGGCGCGACAGCGUGGGGAGCAAACAGG
rnacentral:rRNA from 1 species